rnacentral:rRNA from 1 species
CCUACGGGUGGCAGCAGUGGGGGAUAUUGCACAAUGGGGGGAACCCUGAUGCAGCGACGCCGCGUGGGUGAAGAAGCGCCUCGGCGCGUAAAGCCCUGUCAGCAGGGAAGAAAAUGACGGUACCUGAAGAAGAAGCCCCGGCUAACUACGUGCCAGCAGCCGCGGUAAUACGGAGGGGGCAAGCGUUAUCCGGGAUUACUGGGUGUAAAGGGGGCGCAGACGGCGAUGCAAGCCAGGAGUGAAAGCCCGGGGGCCAACCCCGGGACUGCUCUUGAAACUGCGUGGCUGGAGUGGAGGAGGGGCAGGCGGAAUGCCUGGUGUAGCGGUGAAAUGCGUAGAUAUCAGGAGGAACACCGGUGGCGAAGGCGGCCUGCUGGACUGCAACUGACGUUGAGGCACGAAAGCGUGGGGAGCAAACAGGAUUAGAUACCCUUGUAGUC